UACGAAGGGUGCAAGCGUUAAUCGGAAUUACUGGGCGUAAAGCGUGCGCAGGCGGCUUUGCAAGACAGAUGUGAAAUCCCCGGGCUCAACCUGGGAAUUGCGAUGGAGACUGCAAGGCUAGAAUCUGGCAGAGGGGGGUAGAAUUCCACGUGUAGCAGUGAAAUGCGUAGAGAUGUGGAGGAAUACCGAUGGCGAAGGCAGCCCCCUGGGUCGAUACUGACGCUCAUGCACGAAAGCGUGGGGAGCAAACAGG
rnacentral:rRNA from 1 species